AACGCGAAGAACCUUACCCAGGCUUGACAUGCAUAGGACAAUUUCAGAGAUGAGAUCUCCCUUCGGGGCCUAUGCACAGGUGCUGCAUGGCUGUCGUCAGCUCGUGCCGUGAGGUGUUGGGUUAAGUCCCGCAACGAGCGCAACCCUUGUCACUAGUUGCCAACACGUAAUGGUGGGAACUCUAGUGAGACUGCCUAGGUUAACUAGGAGGAAGGUGAGGAUGACGUCAAGUCCGCAUGGCCCUUAUGUCUGGGGCUACACACGUGCUACAAUGGUCGGUACAGAGGGCAGCGAAGCCGCGAGGUGAAGCAAAUCCCAAAAAGCCGGCCCCAGUUCAGAUUGUAGUCUGCAACUCGACUACAUGAAGUCGGAAUUGCUAGUAAUGGCGUAUCAGCUACAACGCCGUGAAUACGUUCCCGGGCCUUGUACACACCGACGCGUA
rnacentral:rRNA from 1 species